UCACAGGUUUGAAACACUGGGUGGCGAGUGGCGAACGGGUGAGUAAAAUAUCGGAACGUAUCCUGUAGAGGGGGAUAGCCCGGCGAAAGCCGGAUUAAUACCGCAUAUGCUCAAAAGAGGAAGGCGGGGGACCGGAUGGGUGACCAUUGGGCCUCGCGCUAGAGGGGCGGCCGAUGUCGGAUUAUGCUAGUUGGUGGGGUAAGGGCCUACCAAGGCGGUGAUCCGUAGCGGGUCUGAGAGGAUGAUCCGCCACACUGGGACUGAGACACGGCCCAGACUCCUACGGGAGGCAGCAGUGGGGAAUUUUGGACAAUGGGGGCAACCCUGAUCCAGCAA
rnacentral:rRNA from 1 species